UAGAAGCAUUCCAGCAUUGGGUAUAGAAGCAAGUCUCAUUGCUACAUUUCUGCAAGCUAUAAUUACUAACAAUAAACAUAAAUGGUGGAUGCACAGACACAGGGAUAGCUGUAUAAUGUUCCAUCUAAACAACGACCAUUAAUUCCACAAAGCAUCCAAAUACUAAAAGGAUUUAGAAGAUCUGUUUGUUGAAACAAACCCUGAAGAUAUUCUUCUGAGCCCACUCUAUCAGGGGAAAAGGCCGGAUCCCCAAUCUCACCUGAGGGCUUACCGGUGCACCCCCUGACUGCAGCAAGUUCUGGGCUCCACGAGGUCGUUCCCCAACGGGCCUCCACUUGUCAACCGCCUCGAGAGGAUGACGCAACACCGAAGCUCUUCGGGCAAGCAGUUUAUUCAGGACCUUGAACAGCGAUCUCUCUCCUCGGGCAAGCCUCUCCCAGCCUUAAAUAGGCAUGGACCACCAACCCUGGAUUGCCACGUGGGCACCGUCCAUAGGUCCACGCCUACGAUCAUCCGCUUACGAGCAUCCGGCCUUAGCCAUAUAUGGAGUUGUUUUUUUUGAAGAGAGCUCGGGAGGGAGCCAGCGCCAUCUUUAAAGCGGGGCAGCUCUCUACACUGUUAAAUACAUCCAGGGUACACAAACUUAGUUCCCAGUUACCUGCUUCAGACUCAUGCCUAAAAUCAUGAACAGGAAGCUUGAAGGAGCCUAUUUUUAGAAUUACUUAGUAAUUUAUACAACCAUUAGUAUCAUGACAAAGUUUAAAUGCAUAUAAUAAUCUCAUAAACUUUGAGAUAAUAUUUAUACCUUAAUAAAAGUCUUAAAGAGUCAAAAUAAAACCAAAGGAUUAUGAAAUUAGUGGCAAUACAAUAGUCCCUUAAUUUUUUUUUUUUCUGUCCCAAAUCAGGUGGCUCUUCUGACAUGAAACAGACUUGGAUUUUUCUUGGGUUUAGAGAGGGAGAAAGCCGCAUUCCAGUUCCAAGGCCAGUUUUAAUUUUUAAUUGAAUUGGGACUACAAAAAGGCAAUUUACCUUAUAUGUCUGUAGAGAACAGCAGAAACAAACAUUUUGGAAGAUUUAUGAAAUUCUAUCCUGUUGGAGGUAUGCUAUACCAUUAGGCCAAUUUAUUUUUUCUGUUGCAGCAUUUUCUCUUGAUUUGUCCUUCUUCAGAUGUCUCAUUUGUCCAGUGGGCUUCAGGUUUCUUAGUUG
rnacentral:lncRNA from 1 species